UUGGCUGCCCAGCUGAGUGGAAUGGCUCCUGGAGGUACCACCAGCAGCCCUAGUAGUUCGUCUCUGCCAAAGACACUAAGGCAGCCAUGGCUGGUCAUCUGAUGAUAAGGAAAUUUAU